GUAGAGAUGGCUCAGUGGUUAAGAGCACUGGCUGCUCUUCUAGAGGACAGGGUUCAAUUCCCAGUACCCACA
rnacentral:tRNA from 1 species